GCCAUUGUCGCGCGAUAGCGGCAUCAGAACACCAUUUGCGAUCCGAUCCCACGCUGAUUCGUAAUCAGCAGGUCGUCAGUUCAAUCCUGACCGCCGGCUCCA
rnacentral:tRNA from 1 species